UCUCAUCCACUUUUUUUAUCUCAUCCACAUAAUAAUGGCAUAAUGGCAUAAUAAUGGCAUAAUCCAUAAUGGCAAUGAGUGAAUUCACCAGUGCUGCCCCUUCAAUGUUGGGAGUCAGUGGGUGUGGGGGCUAAUUCAUAAUUUUUGGGCUUUCAGAGUGGGCAGUUAUUCAAAUAAAUACAGUAAUGGCCUGUCGACUUCUGUCUUAGACAUUCAGACCUGACAUCUGUAAUCUGCAGUGCUUUCAAGCUGGAUAUAGCUGUCUUUACUAUUGAUUGCUCAAAUGGUCAUUGUUUGGAUUAUGUAUACAGAAAAAUCUUUACAGAAGUAUAUUAUAUAUCAGUGCCAGGUUUUCUCUAAGGCACUGAAUUGAUAUAUGUUAUGAUUCUGAAGAAGCUAUAUAUGUGGGAGCAAAAUAUUAUUUAUCCUAUAUUUUUGUUCAAAAGGCAGAGAUCAGGUAGCUGUGGGUGUAGCUCCCAUUGGCUUUGCAAACAAGAGUUCAGAGAGUGCACUGUCCAUCUACCCACUUGCUAUAGCAAACUGUAAAGAGAAAAGAGACAAUUUAAAGCAGCUCCUGAGAAAUCUAAAUUCCCAGAAGAACUGCAUUAAAAAACAUGGCAUUGUAGUGGAUGGCAGAAAGUACAAAAUCAAGUUCACAGUAACUCUGGACUACAAAGCCCUGUUGCUUCUUCUGAAUAAGAAAAAUGAUGAGGACUUCACUCUUGGUGGAAAAGGCUACAAUGUUGAAUGCUGUGCCUAUUGCGAUGCUAUUAGGGCUUGUACAUCACAUGGAGCUGAUCCCGAUGAGGCAUGUUUAGAUUGCUUAAGAUCAAAAGCUAACAUUGGAAGGUAACUAAAAGCACAAUUAUUACAAGUUCAACUCACCCACAUAAAGGAUAGGCCCUGAA